rnacentral:rRNA from 1 species
GACGAAUGCUGGCGGCGUGCUUAACACAUGCAAGUCGAACGGAAAGGCCCUGCUUUUGUGGGGUGCUCGAGUGGCGGACGGGUGAGUAACACGUGAGUAACCUGCCCUUGACUUUGGGAUAACUUCAGGAAACUGGGGCUAAUACCGGAUAGGAGCUCCUGCUGCAUGGUGGGGGUUGGAAAGUUUCGGCGGUUGGGGAUGGACUCGCGGCUUAUCAGCUUGUUGGUGGGGUAGUGGCUUACCAAGGCUUUGACGGGUAGCCGGCCUGAGAGGGUGACCGGCCACAUUGGGACUGAGAUACGGCCCAGACUCCUACGGGAGGCAGCAGUGGGGAAUAUUGCACAAUGGGCGGAAGCCUGAUGCAGCAACGCCGCGUGCGGGAUGACGGCCUUCGGGUUGUAAACCGCUUUCGCCUGUGACGAAGCGUGAGUGACGGUAAUGGGUAAAGAAGCACCGGCUAACUACGUG